rnacentral:rRNA from 1 species
ACCGGCGCACGGGUGCGUAACGCGUAUGCACCUACCUUGUACUGGGGAAUAGCCCGGAGAAAUCCGGAUUAAUGCCCCAUAGUUCUGCAUGGAUAAAGAUUACGGUACAAGAUGGGCAUGCGUCCCAUUAGUUAGAUGGUGAGGUAGCGGCUCACCAUGACAGCGAUGGGUAGGGGGCCUGAGAGGGUGAUCCCCCACACUGGUACUGAGACACGGACCAGACUCCUACGGGAGGCAGCAGUGAGGAAUAUUGGUCAAUGGACGAGAGUCUGAACCAGCCAUGCCGCGUGCAGGAAGAAUGCCUCUGGGUUGUAAACUGCUUUUACUUGGGAAUAAACCACUCUACGUGUAGAGUGCUGAAGGUACCAAGAGAAUAAGCACCGGCUAACUCCGUGCCAGCAGCCGCGGUAAUACGGAGGGUGCAAGCGUUAUCCGGAAUCAUUGGGUUUAAAGGGUCCGCAGGCGGGCUUAUAAGUCAGUGGUGAAAGCCUACAGCUUAACUGUAGAACUGCCAUUGAUACUGUAAGUCUUGAAUUUAGUCGAAGUAGGCGGAAUAGGUCAUGUAGCGGUGAAAUGCAUAGAUAUGACCUAGAACACCGAUAGCGAAGGCAGCUUACUAGGCUGAAUUGACGCUCAUGGACGAAAGCGUGAGGAGCGACAGGGAUUAGAUACCCCUGUAGUUCACGUG